AACGAACGCUGGCGGCGCGUUUUAAGCAUGCAAGUCGAACGGCAGCUUGAGUAGCAAUACUUGAGCGAGAGUGGCGAACGGGUGAGUAACACGUAGGUGAUCUACCCCUGGAUGGGGGAUAGUCCGUGGAAACACGGGGUAAUACCGCAUGAGGCCUUGGGGGUAAAGCCCUGAGGUGAAAGCUCCAACUGGAGCGUCUGGGGAUGAGCCUGCGGCCCAUUAGGCAGUUGGCGGGGUAAAAGCCCACCAAACCGACGAUGGGUAGCCGGCCUGAGAGGGUGUACGGCCACACUGGAACUGAGACACGGUCCAGACUCCUACGGGAGGCUG
rnacentral:rRNA from 1 species